ACUCGGCUCACGCUACCACCCUGGAUCCCACGGCUGCCAAAGGCAAGCCAGGCACAGAGCCAGGUACAGAGUGGCAAGGGGUUUGUGAGCAAGUGAUCGUGGGGUCUGGCCACUGCACACAGCCAGGCACGCCAGCUGCUGCGGCAGGGCAUGCAGCUCCAGGAACCGGCACCGGCACCAGCUCCUUGCGAGGCUGCAGCUGGACCAGGUGUACCACAGGCGGCUUCCGCUGCAAGUACCAGGGUCUGGAUGAGGGGAACACAGUGGCACCCAAAAACCUGAGUGAGACGCCAGCAACCACAGAGGCCAAAGAGACUUCUUAAAGCUAAUUUCCAACUCUUCCUGCCUGCAAUGAAGAGCAAGAAGUGAUUAAACUGUUCAAUUGCACAAUCAACUGACAAACAACAAUCUACAUGACACCUUCAAGAAAGGGAUUAAUCUCCACAUGGCACAAAGAUACCAUCAAGGAUACAACAUACAUGAAGUUGUCACAUCUCUUUAAGCUCAUCUUAGCAGCCACUAUUCCUCAGAACUUUCUUUGGCUUUGAUGACCUUUUCAGUUUUUGAGAAGUAUUGGUCAGGUAUAUUUUAGACUGCUAUUCUAUCAGAAUUUGUCUUGUUUUCCUCAUGACUAGACUGAGGUGAUGGAUUUGGCAGGUGGAGAUGAAAUUGCUGAAAUUAUUCCAGUUUUGGUCUUUGGGAGCUCGUGCAGAUGGUUCCUAUGCCACUUUGACAUAGUUCCAUCAAUGUAUUUUUUUCUUUCCUUUAGCACUUCUUUACUUUCGGGUACUGUAAGACACCCUAAACUCAUCUUGUAUAUUUUCUGCCUCAGUCCUAGAAUCUGCCAUUUUGCCAAGGAACGCUUGUUCAUCUUAUUGGAUAAUGAUGUUAGAAAUCAAGAUUUGGGUACUAAACGUGCUUUUGCUACUGGGAUGUUGCUUCUUUUAGUUUCUCUUAGCCAAUGAAGCAAAGGAAUAUACAAUAUAAGUGUUUGCUAACCUGAGUGUGUAUACACACCUAUAAAUACUUCUGUAUUUAACCAUCUGCCUCUAUUUUAGUUAAACAUGAAUUCUUAAUAAUAUCUCCAACUCUAACCCAUUAUAGCAUGGAUCAAUAUAGCUCCUCCUGUUGCUGAUCUGUAAAUUUCCACUCCAGCAGUCAGAAAUCAGGUUCGCAUUUGCCAUUCAUUUCUUAAUUGUUCAAUGCCAGUACACAUGUACAGUAUCAUCAAAAUUGUUAAACUGUCCUCGUAAAAGAAACUUUAUUAGAGUGCUUAUGUGCAGCGUCUUUUUCUUUAGUUAUGUAGACUCUAUUUUCAGUUACUUCCGUCAGCCCCUUUCCCUCACCACCUUUGUUAGAAUAUUUCAUUUGUAAUACAGUGAAAUCCUCAUGUUUGUCAUAAUCUGCAUUCUUUCCUAGGAUACCCUGACUUCCUGCAUAACUUUUUAAAAUUGGCAAAUAUUAUGGUUUAUUCUUUUUGUAGUAAAGUUCUACAGGAUUUGAUAAAUGCAUAACGUCAUGCAUCCACCAUUAAAGAAUCAUAAAGAAUAGUUUCACUAUCCUAGAAUUCCCUUGUAUUUCAUUUAUUUGGUCCUCCUCUCUUCUCCAACCACCAAACUUUUUA
rnacentral:lncRNA from 1 species